UCGCUUAGGCAGCACGUAUACUAAAAAUGGAACAAUACAGAAAAGAUUAGCAUGGUCCCAGCCAAAGGAUGACACACAAAUUUGUGAAGUAUUCCAUGUUUUU